rfam:Candidatus Sungbacteria bacterium RIFCSPLOWO2_01_FTLL_59_16 rifcsplowo2_01_scaffold_60964, whole genome shotgun sequence.
GUCAGGAUAGCUCAGUUGGUAGAGCAUCCGCCUGAAGAGCGGGGGGUCGCCGGUUCGAACCCGGCUCCUGACA